rfam:Salmo salar isolate Sally breed double haploid chromosome ssa18, whole genome shotgun sequence.
UCCCCCGUAGCUCAGUUGGUAGAGCAUGGUGUUUGCAACGCCAGGGUUGUGGGUUCGAUUCCCACGGGGGGCC